rnacentral:rRNA from 2 species
UUGCCCCGAGAUGAGUUCUCCCUGACUCCUUGAGAGUCCUGAAGGAACGUUGAAGACGACGACGUUGAUAGGCCGGGUGUGUAAGCGCAGCGAUGCGUUGAGCUAACCGGUACUAAUGAACCGUGAGGCUUAACCUUACAACGCCGAAGGUGUUU